CACUAGCAAUGAAUAUCAACAAACAUGCACACGCGGCUACGCUGGCUCUGAUCUCAAAAACGCAUCUUGCGACUGCGUGAUUGAAAGACCGCUCGUGCCUGUCAACGCAGGCCUAAAAUAAUUCUACUGUGAUGCGCUCUGCAGAGAUUGGGAGGCCAGUGCACAACACACCGCAUCCAGAGGUUUCCAAGUGGCAGUUAAGAAGCAGAAGUGGUGAGCCCAGCUGAACUCAAUGGAGUGUGAAUGGCCCAGUUCUCCCUCAGCUGAGUGGGACAAUUAGCUCGUAUGCUAAUAGGUGGACCUUUCCAAAACGUUUCCAGCAGGAAAAGCACUUCUUAUUUCAUCCUGUUUUAUUGCCUACAUACUGUACAUGAGCCAUACUCAACAAGUGGACCACGGACCGGAUCUGGACCCAGAACGGGGUCAAUACAGGCCCCCGGUCACAAAAAUAAUAAAUGUUAUACAGUAUUUGAUUUGUAAUAGUAGAAGCCACAAGGGGCAAUGUCAAAAUUUGGUAGGGCAUGAGUAGUUUUCCACUUGUCAUGUCAUUCACUGACAGACCUUAGAGAGAUAUUUAUAACCUGUCAGAAAUGUCCUGUUGAUAAACUAGCCCAUGUUAGCUAGCUGGUUAGACUAAUUUACCUAGCUAUCUAAAUCUUGUAGUUAUCAGACCAGAUUACAUGCCCAGGGGGCUUUACCCCAUGGGGGCACCCAUUGAUUUUUGUGGAGUCACUCAGGUAUAUGAACACACAUAAGAAAUUGCAUAAUGUGUGGAAUUACAGGAAAUUAGCUUAUAAAAUGGCACAUUUUCUCUGCCCCAAGACAAAUGUGUAGAAUUGCAGGAAAUGAGCUUUUAAAACUGCAAAAUGCUAUCUCCGCCUACAAGAGGGGUGUUAACAGUUUCGGGAUACAUGCAUUGUGAGAUGACUGUUUGUUACUACGCCGAUAAAUGACAAUAUCCAUCUGGACCUUUUGCCACCUAGGGAAUGUGUGACUGGACCUUCUUAAAUAACA